rnacentral:rRNA from 1 species
UACGGAGGAUGCGAGCGUUAUCCGGAUUUAUUGGGUUUAAAGGGUGCGUAGGCGGAAUAUCAAGUCAGCGGUAAAAAUUCGGGGCUCAACCCCGUCGUGCCGUUGAAACUGAUGUUCUUGAGUGGGCGAGAAGUAUGCGGAAUGCGUGGUGUAGCGGUGAAAUGCAUAGAUAUCACGCAGAACCCCGAUUGCGAAGGCAGCAUACCGGCGCCCUACUGACGCUGAAGCACGAAAGCGUGGGUAUCGAACAG